GCUUAACACAUGCAAGUCGAGCGGUAAGGCCCUUCGGGGUACACGAGCGGCGAACGGGUGAGUAACACGUGGGUGAUCUGCCUUGCACUCUGGGAUAAGCCUGGGAAACUGGGUCUAAUACCGGAUAUGACCUCCGAUCGCAUGGUCGGGGGUGGAAAGAUUUAUCGGUGCAAGAUGAGCCCGCGGCCUAUCAGCUUGUUGGUGGGGUAAUGGCCUACCAAGGCGACGACGGGUAGCCGGCCUGAGAGGGCGACCGGCCACACUGGGACUGAGACACGGCCCAGACUCCUACGGGAGGCAGCAGUGGGGAAUAUUGCACAAUGGGCGGAAGCCUGAUGCAGCGACGCCGCGUGAGGGAUGACGGCCUUCGGGUUGUAAACCUCUUUCGACUCCGACGAAGCGAAAGUGACGGUAGGAGUAUAAGAAGCACCGGCCAACUACGUGCCAGCAGCCGCGGUAAUACGUAGGGUGCGAGCGUUGUCCGGAAUUACUGGGCGUAAAGAGCUUGUAGGCGGCUUGUCGCGUCGAUCGUGAAAACUCGGGGCUCAACCCCGAGCUUGCGGUCGAUACGGGCAGGCUUGAGUACUUCAGGGGAGACUGGAAUUC
rnacentral:rRNA from 1 species